rnacentral:rRNA from 1 species
CGGGGUGCAGCAGGCGCGAAAACUUUACAAUGCGGGAAACCGUGAUAAGGGGAUCUCGAGUGCCAGCAUAUAAUGUUGGCUGUCCAGAUGCCUAAAAAGCAUCUGUUAGCAAGGGCCGGGCAAGACCGGUGCCAGCCGCCGCGGUAAUCAA